rnacentral:rRNA from 1 species
AACGCGAAGAACCUUACCUGGGCUUGAACUACUCGUGGUAGUUCGCUGGAAACAGUGGACGACCCGCAAGGGAGCGAGCAGAGGUGCUGCAUGGUUGUCGUCAGCUCGUGUCGUGAGAUGUUGGGUUAAGUCCCGCAACGAGCGCAACCCCUAUCUCAUGUUGCUAUUCCCGCAAGGGAAGCACUCUUGAGAAACUGCCUUCGAUAAGAAGGAGGAAGGUGGGGACGACGUCAAAUCCUCAUGGCCCUUAUGUCCAGGGCUACACACGUGUUACAAUGGCCGGUACAAUGGGAAGCAAUACCGCAAGGUGGAGCCAAACCCCAAAGCCGGCCCCAGUUCAGAUUGUGGGCUGCAACUCGCCCACAUGAAGGCGGAAUCGCUAGUAAUCGCUGAUCAGCAGGCAGCGGUGAAUACGUUCCCGGGCCUUGUACACACCGCGAGC